GCAGGACUGGAGGAGUCAGAGUUGGGAGGCAGAAAUGUCUUCCUAAGGCUCCGAGGUGGGCUGGAGACAGGAGAUGGUCAAGGUCAUUUUGUUGACUCUCAUGAUGUUAAGUCAAUUAUUUGUCAGCCAGGCUCGCAGGAUUUCCGUCAUGCUCCCUGCAGCCUGUGAUACAGUGCCACCCAGGAGCUGCAGGCCACCCCUCUAAUGUGAGCUCAUCUGGCUGUUGAAUUCUGCUGAGUCCCCUCGCCCUUCAUUUGCUGGCUCAAGGCAACCAUUAGCCUUCUGAGGACUGGAGCAGGUAAGGCCUCUGCUGAUGGACUCACUCAACAAGUUCAAGGCUGGAUCAAAACACAUUUACACAACAGUUGUUGGUCAAUCAGCCAUGCCACAUUUCUUCAACCUGGCCAAGCUAAAUUAGGGAAGACCCUUCAAGGACUUUAUUAACUCCAGCCCUCAAGGAGAAGCUCCAAGGGUUCUGGCUUCUCAGAUUUGCCCUCUGUUUUGUAUAUGGUCUUUUUCUUUGUGCCUGCUACAUGCGUGUU